rnacentral:rRNA from 1 species
UACGGAGGGUGCAAGCGUUAAUCGGAAUUACUGGGCGUAAAGCGUGCGCAGGCGGUUUGUUAAGUCCGUUGUGAAAUCCCCGAGCUCAACUUGGGAAUUGCAAUGGAUACUGGCAAGCUGGAGUAUGGUAGAGGAAGGUGGAAUUCCCGGUGUAGCAGUGAAAUGCGUAGAGAUCGGGAGGAACACCAGUGGCGAAGGCGGGUCUCUGGGCCGAUACUGACGCUGAGGAGCGAAAGCGUGGGGAGCGAACAGG